rnacentral:rRNA from 1 species
CUAACACAUGCAAGUCGAGCGGAAACGAGUUAACUGACCCUUCGGGUGACGUUAACGGCGUCGAGCGGCGGACGGGUGAGUAAUGCCUGGGAAAUUGCCCUGAUGUGGGGGAUAACCAUUGGAAACGAUGGCUAAUACCGCAUAAUGCCUUCGGGCCAAAGAGGGGGACCUUCGGGCCUCUCGCGUCAGGAUAUGCCCAGGUGGGAUUAGCUAGUUGGUAAGGUAAUGGCUUACCAAGGCGACGAUCCCUAGCUGGUCUGAGAGGAUGAUCAGCCACACUGGAACUGAGACACGGUCCAGACUCCUACGGGAGGCAGCAGUGGGGAAUAUUGCACAAUGGGCGCAAGCCUGAUGCAGCCAUGCCGCGUGUGUGAAGAAGGCCUUCGGGUUGUAAAGCACUUUCAGUCGUGAGGAAGGUAGUGUAGUUAAUAGCUGCAUUGCUUGACGUUAGCGACAGAAGAAGCACCGGCUAACUCCGUGCCAGCAGCCGCGGUAAUACGGAGGGUGCGAGCGUUAAUCGGAAUUACUGGGCGUAAAGCGCAUGCAGGUGGUUCGUUAAGUCAGAUGUGAAAGCCCGGGGCUCAACCUCGGAACUGCAUUUGAAACUGGCGGACUAGAGUACUGUAGAGGGGGGUAGAAUUUCAGGUGUAGCGGUGAAAUGCGUAGAGAUCUGAAGGAAUACCGGUGGCGAAGGCGGCCCCCUGGACAGAUACUGACACUCAAAUGCGAAAGCCUGGGGAGCAAACAGGA